GAGGGCUUGGGAAAACUUUGGAGAAGGAUCUUCCAGCAUCCCUUCAUUGGACUACAGCUGGCUAGUGGAUUACUGAGUGCUGGCAUACAGUGAAGUGCAGCUGCAGCAGAUAGGAAGAAUGCAUCAUGGAGUUGCUGGGAGGACUGGAGGAAGCUGCUGGGAUAAGCAGGAAUGAUGACCGACGAACAGGAUCUAGAGGCAGCACUCAAUCCCGAGUCCAGAGGGUGGAGGAGACGUUGUGAUGUGUCUGUGGUUGUGGUGGGCUCACGCUGAGCGGGGAGAUUGAAGAGGGAUACUCCAGAGCACACUCUCCAUGAGCAAGGGAGGAAAGAGAGAUCUGUGAUGUGGUGAGAUGAAGGAGAAGGAGGGAUAGAUGAUGUGGUGCAGCAGGUGGAGAUGUUCUCGUAAGCUGGAUGAUCACAGCCACACGGGCCCCCCUUGUCUGCCGCCUCACUCCAAAACAUCCCUAACAGAUCAAUCCAUUACUUACUGAAACACACCGUGGCCUGUCUGUGAUUUUUGUCUGGUGUUCACGCUGAGAGACUGCAUGUUGCUCUACAGUUUUCAAGGCAAAUAAAUGUGAGCGGAAAACGAGAGGUAAUAUUAAAUCAACAUGAUGUGGGAAGGUAAUAUCUUGUCUAUGGUUCUGUCUUAAAUAAGUCAAAUUUUGCUCAUGCCCAGUUUGUUUUGCCAGGUCAUGGCACCAGAAAAUCAGCAGCAUACAAAACACAUGAAUGUAACAUUGAAAAAAAUGCACAGUAAGAAAACCCCUGACCUUGUGGGCCACUGUUGUCCAUAGCAACAAACGGAUGAACCACAUUAACAUAAGAUAUUAUGGGAGAAUUACAAGCAAUUUUAGUCUUCUUAGUCAAUCUUUUGCUAAUGGGUGUUUCUUCAA